UACAGAGGGGGCAAGCGUUGUUCGGAAUUACUGGGCGUAAAGGGCGCGUAGGCGGCCUGCUAAGUCGAACGUGAAAUCCCCGGGCUCAACCCGGGAACCGCGCUUGAGACUGGUGGACUCGAGUUCGGGAGAGGAUGGUGGAAUUCCCAGUGUAGAGGUGAAAUUCGUAGAUAUUGGGAAGAACACCGAUGGCGAAGGCAGCCAUCUGGACCGACACUGACGCUGAGGCGCGAAAGCGUGGGGAGCAAACAGG
rnacentral:rRNA from 1 species